AUUGAACGCUGGCGGCAGGCUUAACACAUGCAAGUCGAGCGAGCGGCUGACGGGUGAGUAAUGUCUGGGUAACUGCCCGAUGGAGGGGGAUAACUACUGGAAACGGUGGCUAAUACCGCAUACUAUCAGAUGUGCCCCUAGUGGAUUAGCUAGUAGGUGGGGUAAUGGCUCACCUAGGCGACGAUCUCUAGCUGGUCUGAGAGGAUGAUCAGCCACACUGGAACUGAGACACGGUCCAGACUCCUACGGGAGGCAGCAGUGGGGAAUAUUGCACAAUGGGCGCAAGCCUGAUGCAGCCAUGCCGCGUGUGUGAAGAAGGCCUUAGGGUUGUAAAGUACUUUCAGCGAGGAGGCGUUACUCGCAGAAGAAGCACCGGCUAACUCCGUGCCAGCAGCCGCGGUAAUAC
rnacentral:rRNA from 1 species